rnacentral:lncRNA from 1 species
AAACCUGCUACACACACACACACACACACACACAUACACACACACAAAUUAAGGACAUACAAAAAUACCACAGUGAAGCCUGCUUUCUAUGCCAAGUGAAAACAAAUGUUAACAGUCAGUGUAGGGGUGGGAGAGAUGGUUCAGCAGUUAAGAGCACUGGCUGCUCUUUCAGAGGUCCCAACUUCAAUCCCCAGCACUUAGAACGGCAGCUCACAAUCGUCUGCAACUCCAGUUCCAGGAGAUACGAUGCCCUCUGAUGCCCUCUUCUGACCAUCAAGGGUUCCAGGCACUCACGUGGUGCACAGACAUAACAUGCAGGCAGAUGCUUACACAGAUAAAAUAAUUUUUAAAAUUAACUGUUUUCUUUUCAAGUGAAUGUAGAAUAAAAACUGUAAGGUGCAUCUCUGGUUCUCUGCUGUUCUUUGUGUCUGUGUUUUUGCUUAACUUGCGGGUAAACUGGCUCCCGUUUUACUGUCACGUUUUAUAGGUCUCUUUUAAUUCUACUGCUCUCGCUGUGAAUUUACAAGAAUUCUUGUUUAUCCUUUAGUCACUAAUGGGUAAAAAGGAAAGGAAAAAAACACUGAAUUUUAGUUGUUUUAAAAAUAUAUUGCCCUAUUCAUCUGAGCUCAGUAUAUUAUCUCUCUGGGGAUAUUAAAGAUGUGAGAGAACCUUGAUUUCUUUUUCCUAGCUUCGUAUUUUUCUAUUGAAUACCCUUCUUUUGCUUGUACUAGGCCCCAGCGUCCACAUCUACCUUUCCCUGUGUCUCUGUUUAGAAUUAAACCUGCUCUGAACUUUAUGGCUUCCUGUUGUAGUUGUAGAACACAUGGUCCUGCAGCAGAGCUUUCCAUCAAAACAAUGACAGGGUAGACACAGGUAAUUUUUGAAACAGUGGAGGGGUUUAAGGGCAGGGGAGGAAAAUCUAGGCUGAUAUGAAGAUGAGAGUCUAGAUAGAUGGCUGACUGCCAAACUGUCCCCAAAAGUAUUUGUCAGUGCCACAAACUCAGACAUCAGAAGUUUUCCUGGGAAAUGUUCAGUGUCUCUGGUUCCUGAACUCCCUGAGAUGGUUAGACUAGAGAAGAUUCUGUCCCCGUUGCACUCAGACCCCACACGGCUGAUCAUUUGCUGUGAGGAGAAAUGAUUGUUCUAUAACAAAUGUGCUAAAUGAUGAACGAAUGUCGGGGCUAGAUGAGCUUCUGGUCUGGACAGCCAAACUGGUUCAUGCUUUAAAGUGAUUCAAAGUUGCCCCAAGCAGUAGGCUUCCCAGGGCUCUGGGAAAAAUGGAUAGAGAGCCUCACACAAGCCAGCUACCACCCAGGCCUCAGAAAGCCCAGAAGUCAUUAUUCAAGGUUACCAAAUGGCCUUACCAUGAAAAUCAGGAUUUCAAGAGCAAAAGGAACUAAACAAGAGACAAGAAAACAAACAGGAGAAACAGACUUAGGUUUUAUAUACUAGAAAUAAGUAAAUUGUAAGAUUUUGGAAACUAGAGAAUAAUUUCAUAUCAUAAAAGUGGGAGGAGAGGGGCUCAUGAGCACCCACCCCUAGCUGAUGAACUAUUGACAAUUAAUGUCCAUUGGACAGGGAGAGAGAGAGCUAGUUUUCUUUAAGAAUGGUACCUGGUAGAUUGAUCAUGCUCCAGGUGGUACAUGUCUAAGCACAUGGACAGCACAAAUCGUACUCAGUGGGAAGGAAAGGGAGGCUUAAAGUAGGAAGCAGGUGGGGACAUGGCAGAGACAGAUCUAUGGGGAGUUAAGCAGAGAAGUGGGAUAUGUAUCAUGGUCAAAUACAUCAUAUGCAUGCAUGAAUUCUCAAAGAAUUCAUUAAAAAGUAUACAUUUUUAAAUGAUAUCCUAUAUUUGAAUAACCAUACAGAGUCUAGAGGUGAAAACUGCUUGCUGAUAUCCUAGGAUAUUGCAAUGGAUAUCCUAGUUAGAAAAGAAAAGUAAAAGAAACAAGUAUGGGCCAGAAGACAGUUUAAAGUCAUCCCUAGUUCAGAGAGAGGAGCACAGGGAAAGUAUAGUAAAUAUGAGAGAUGGGAGUUAUAUAAACAAGAUCCAAGAAUACAAAGAAAGAAGGAUGAGAAUUCAGAGUCCAAGUUGAACACACAAGCUUGCAAAUUCCUCCAUUCUGACGGAAGCAUUAGCCCACAAAUUCGGGAGUCUAGUGAGCCCCAAGCAUGAUG